GGACUCCACUGUGAGACCACUUACACCAAGGAUGGAUUUUGGACAUAUAUUACUCAGAUUGCCACGUGUUCACCUUGGAUGUUUUGGAUGUUCCUGAACAGUGUUUUUCACUUCAUGUGGGUGGCUGUAUUACUCAUGUGUCAGAUGUACCAGAUAUCAUGUUUAGGUAUUACUACAAAUGAAAGAAUGAAUGCCAGAAGAUACAAGCACUUUAAAGUCACAACAACAUCUAUUGAAAGCCCAUUCAAGUAUGUACAUAUUUAUAAAUUUAAUAUUUUCCCUGGUCAUAAAAAUUUUCUUACUAACCAGACUCUUUUACUUAGUGAUAUGUAAAAUAGCUUUUAAACCUUUUUAAGAUUUCUGUAGAAAUAGCAUCAGUUCACCAUAACACCAAAACAGAAUUCAUCACAUUAACUGUAUAUAAUUAAGUUGUGAUAUCUCCUU
rnacentral:sRNA from 1 species